GAAUUAGAAACGUUGAUUUUUAAAACAACGGAGCCGUCGCGAUCUACGCCUAAGGUUAUCGAAACUGCUGCUGACGGAAUAUCCGAUAAAACGUCUGGUCCGCCUCAUCUACAGAGGCAAUCUGAUCCUAGUUACGUAGAAGACGUUGAGCUGAUGAGCGUCCUUGAGCCCGAACCCUUAGAGGUGACAACAUCAGGGGGAGCGGAAGCCCCCGAGCAAACUUUGAACGGGUCUACAGCAGGAGGAGCG